rnacentral:rRNA from 1 species
AAAGCGUGCGCAGGCGGUUAUAUAAGACAGAUGUGAAAUCCCCGGGCUCAACCUGGGAACUGCAUUUGUGACUGUAUAGCUAGAGUACGGUAGAGGGGGAUGGAAUUCCGCGUGUAGCAGUGAAAUGCGUAGAUAUGCGGAGGAACACCGAUGGCGAAGGCAAUCCCCUGGACCUGUACUGACGCUCAUGCACGAAAGCGUGGGGAGCAAACAGGAUUAGAUACCCCAGU